rnacentral:rRNA from 1 species
UACGUAGGGUGCAAGCGUUGUCCGGAAUUAUUGGGCGUAAAGAGCUCGUAGGCGGUUCGUCGCGUCGGCUGUGAAAUCCCGAGGCUCAACCUCGGGUCUGCAGUCGAUACGGGCGGACUGGAGUUCGGCAGGGGAGACUGGAAUUCCUGGUGUAGCGGUGAAAUGCGUAGAUAUCGAGAGGAACACCUGCGGCGAAGGCGGGUUGCUGGGCCGACACUGACGCUGAGGCGCGAAAGCCAGGGGAGCGAACGGG